rnacentral:misc_RNA from 1 species
AACGCACCUUGCACCCUUUGGUCUCCAAAGGGUAUGCUCGGUUGAGUGUCUUGAGCAUCUCAAUCCGUUGGCUUCUUAUGAGGCUUUGGGCAAGUCUACAACGUUAUCUUGUGGGAUGACGUUGGACCGUCCAAGGCAAAGCCGAUCGGAAUUGGAUUUGAGUGUGCGUCGGCCGGUGUCGACCCACUUGAAAUGAAUUAGCCGAGUCGCAGGUCGUCUUCAACUUUGGCGUGAUGAGUUCUGAUCGUCAUGAGAAGCGACACGUCGACUUGCUUCCAAUCGACCGACCGUCGGUCUCUUUGAUCUUUACACCUCAACUCGAGUAGGACUACCCGCUGAACUUAA